AUUGAACGCUGGCGGCAGGCCUAACACAUGCAAGUCGAACGAGUGACGGACGGGUGAGUAAUGUCUGGGAAACUGCCUGAUGGAGGGGGAUAACUACUGGAAACGGUUGAUAAUACCGCAUCCCAUCGGAUGUGCCCAGAUGGGAUUAGCUUGAGGGUGGGGUAACGGCUCACCAAGUCGACGAUCGCUAGCUGGUCUGAGAGGAUGACCAGACACGCUGGGAUGGAGACAAGGUCAUGACGCCUACGGUAGGGAGCAGUGGGGAAUAUUGGGCAAUGGGCGCAAGUCUGAUGCAGACAUGCCGCGUGAAUGAAGAAGGCCUGCGGAUUGUAAAGUACGUUCAUCGGUGAGGCGUUACCCGCAGAGGAAGCACCGGCUAACUCCGUGCAAGCAGCCGCGGUAAUUC
rnacentral:rRNA from 1 species